CGGCGGGCAUUGGGUGGCGUGGCAGUCCGCAGUCAGGGUGUUGACUGCUGCUGUUGUUUGCAGCAAGCCAGCAUCUUAGGCCGAGCAGCCCGCCCCACACUACCGCUAUCAAAGGUGACCCCAAGGUGCACUGCCUGUUUGCCGGCGGCUCGCCCAAGAGUGCUCCGGCUCGUCCUUGGCAGCAGCCGACCGCGCCACACCAGCUGCACUGCCCGCGCUGCCCGACGCCGCCUCCCUCACACAUACACAUACACACACACCAUCCCAUACACAAUCUUUGCGCCUAUUUUCCUUGUGCCCUUUAAUCACCAACCCAUGCGCCCUUAGCCCUGCUCAUCUUCAGCCCUGCUCACCCCUGCAGUAUGCCGUCGAACGACACCGCCGCCAUGCGCCCGCCGCGCCGCCGCAGCACGCCCCAGGCGCUCGGCUCGUCCCCCACCAGGUCCACCACGAGAUCGUAGCUGCCCGCCCCGCCCGCAGCUUCCUCAAGCUUCUGGCCCUGCGAUGCGUCGUCGUACAUGCGGUGCGACACAGAGGAUGCGAUAAGGUACGACACAGCGACAAGCGGCACGCAUGAUGCCGCGUGGGAAGGAAUGGGCAGGGAAGGGGGGAGUGGUUCGGGGUUGCACCACUACCACCAUUAUUACCGCCACCACCACCACCACCACCACCACCACCACCACCACCACCACCACCAUCACUGGCCGCACUCCACCUCCUAAUCCCAGCAGCCCCACCUUGGUGUAGUCGAUGGCCAGGUCCGCCCCUAGCUGCUUGGUCACGAACUCCACAUUGCGGCUGCUGCAGGUGGCGGCAACGUAGGCGCCCUGGCUCUUGGCGAUCUGCAGCGGCGAGCCGGCGACAGCAACAGCAGUGGCGGCAUCAGUAGCCCACCCCAUGCAACGUGCAUCGCCAAGUUCGGACCAGCACGGACCCGGCGACCGCACGCAUCGAGGCACGCCGGGGCCAGGAAUUGAGUCACGCUCAGCGCAUGGUACACGAUCAGCCCGCACGGUGCCUCUUACCGCCCAACCAGCG
rnacentral:lncRNA from 1 species